AAGUCUCGUACACGAGUCAACGGUUCUUAUAACGUACUUUCGUUGAACGACAAGCAAGGAACGUCUCACGGAGUAUUCGAGUUCGACAAAAUUUUACACAGCCUUUACUACAGAAAGAGCUUUGAUCGAAAGAAUUAUGAAGGUCUUGGUUGCCAUGACAAUAUGCCUCUUUUCGCUGUGCACCCAAUCACAUGGUCAAGACCAAUCAGGCGAGAAUGAGUGCUACAUAUGUUACAAGGACUGCCAAGAGAAGGGCGCGGAGAUAUGCUACUAUAAGUGCCCUUCAAGAACCCAUUUUGGUCGGCUCUUGGGGCUAUGUUAUGAGAUGUGCAUAAUGGGGCAUAUGGAGAAUUGCAUGAGAAAAGGAGAAUGCAGAACUCUGAAAGGUAGGAAGAAAUUAGAAGAAAAACCAGAAGAGAAACCACAAGAAAAACCAGUAGAGAAACCAUAUAUCGAAGCUGAUGAUGUGUUUCAAGAUUUCCUGAAGAAACAUAUGAAGUGAACAUCAAAUUCCAGCCCAGAAGAAAAAAAAAUUUUUUUWAAAGUCAAGUAACAAACUAUUAAGACUUCUAUCAUGUAAAUGAUUACAUAAUAUUCUAAAAACAAUUUUUUAAAGUUGUAAUUCCAGGAAGUUCAAGGCCAAAAUAAUGCAUUUCCCAUAUUUUCUCAUAAUUGAAUGAAAAUUAAGCAACAAUAAAACACGAGAAAUCCCUUAGCCAAUAGCGCAUCGCAGUCGUGAUGUCAUAAAAAUGAAGACAAAGGUGAAAUUCGGACAAACAAACUUACAAGUUUACUUUCAGCAGAUAAUUUUCACAGCCGAUCGCAGUUGAUCUUAGUUUACAUGGGUUGUUAUUGUAACUUUAAGUAAAAAUAAUAAAAUCAGUUCGUAUAAUCCUUGUAGCGGUUAAACAGAAUGCAAUGUUUGUCCGAAUCUUUAAGCUAUUUUUAGAAUCAGUGCGCUGUGUUAUUGUUUCCAAACAUUUCAUAUUGGUGCUUUUAUUUCCAACAUAGACAACUCCAAAAUUUCUAAUUUUCCAGCUUAUUAUCAAGAUUAAUAAUGCUUCUUGAUAACAACCCUCAAGGAAUCUCAAAAUCUGGAAUUUGCAAAGGAAUGGACAAGGACUCCAAAGAGUUUGUAACAUAUAUUAUACAGUGUAACCUAAAUUUUGGAAAAUUUUUACUAUAUCAAAUAAAAUGCAUGUCUUGUAAUAAAAGUAUUUAUGACAAA